rnacentral:rRNA from 1 species
AACGAACGCUGGCGGCAUGCCUAACACAUGCAAGUCGAACGAGACCUUCGGGUCUAGUGGCGCACGGGUGCGUAACGCGUGGGAACCUGCCCUUAGGUUCGGAAUAACUCCCCGAAAGGGGUGCUAAUACCGGAUAAUGUCUUCGGACCAAAGAUUUAUCGCCUUUGGAUGGGCCCGCGUUGGAUUAGCUAGUUGGUAGGGUAAAAGCCUACCAAGGCGACGAUCCAUAGCUGGUCUGAGAGCAUGAUCAGCCACACUGGGACUGAGACACGGCCCAGACUCCUACGGGAGGCAGCAGUGGGGAAUAUUGGACAAUGGGCGAAAGCCUGAUCCAGCAAUGCCGCGUGAGUGAUGAAGGCCUUAGGGUUGUAAAGCUCUUUUACCCGGGAUGAUAAUGACAGUACCGUGAGAAUAAGCUCCGGCUAACUCCGUG